UACGAAGGGGGCUAGCGUUGCUCGGAAUCACUGGGCGUAAAGGGUGCGUAGGCGGGUCUUUAAGUCGGGGGUGAAAUCCUGGAGCUCAACUCCAGAACUGCCUUCGAUACUGAGGAUCUCGAGUCCGGGAGAGGUGAGUGGAACUGCGAGUGUAGAGGUGAAAUUCGUAGAUAUUCGCAAGAACACCAGUGGCGAAGGCGGCUCACUGGCCCGGUACUGACGCUGAGGUGCGAAAGCGUGGGGAGCAAACAGG
rnacentral:rRNA from 1 species